rnacentral:rRNA from 1 species
AUAUUGCACAAUGGGCGCAAGCCUGAUGCAGCCAUGCCGCGUGUGUGAAGAAGGCCUUCGGGUUGUAAAGCACUUUCAGUCGUGAGGAAGGUGGUAGUGUUAAUAGCACUAUCAUUUGACGUUAGCGACAGAAGAAGCACCGGCUAACUCCGUGCCAGCAGCCGCGGUAAUACGGAGGGUGCGAGCGUUAAUCGGAAUUACUGGG